rnacentral:rRNA from 1 species
AUUGAACGCUGGCGGCAGGCCUAACACAUGCAAGUCGAGCGGAUGAAGGGAGCUUGCUCCUGGAUUCAGCGGCGGACGGGUGAGUAAUGCCUAGGAAUCUGCCUGGUAGUGGGGGAUAACGUCCGGAAACGGGCGCUAAUACCGCAUACGUCCUGAGGGAGAAAGUGGGGGAUCUUCGGACCUCACGCUAUCAGAUGAGCCUAGGUCGGAUUAGCUAGUUGGUGGGGUGAAGGCCUACCAAGGCGACGAUCCGUAACUGGUCUGAGAGGAUGAUCAGUCACACUGGAACUGAGACACGGUCCAGACUCCUACGGGAGGCAGCAGUGGGGAAUAUUGGACAAUGGGCGAAAGCCUGAUCCAGCCAUGCCGCGUGUGUGAAGAAGGUCUUCGGAUUGUAAAGCACUUUAAGUUGGGAGGAAGGGCAGUAAGUUAAUACCUUGCUGUUUAGACGUUACCAACAGAAUAAGCACCGGCUAACUUCGUG